rnacentral:rRNA from 1 species
UACGGAGGGAGCUAGCGUUGUUCGGAAUUACUGGGCGUAAAGCGCGCGUAGGCGGCUUUGUAAGUUAGAGGUGAAAGCCCGGGGCUCAACCCCGGAACUGCCUUUAAAACUGCAUCGCUUGAAUCCAGGAGAGGUGAGUGGAAUUCCGAGUGUAGAGGUGAAAUUCGUAGAUAUUCGGAAGAACACCAGUGGCGAAGGCGGCUCACUGGACUGGUAUUGACGCUGAGGUGCGAAAGCGUGGGGAGCAAACAGGG